UUGUGUAUGGCACCUCUGCAAAUCAUAUCAAAAGAACAUGCGAUACCUUGAGGUCUUAAAGGGAGGUUGUGCAUGGAACAAUAAAUGUAUACCUGAAAACAGUAUUUGGACAGAGAAUAAAGGCAGCAUGUGUAUCCAGUACACAUGUACAAAACAAAGGAGCGGAUCUUAUCCGGAGUACUCUGUUAAAAAGCUACACCAAGGUUGUGUAGACGGCAAGAAGUGUAGAGGACUUGGAUUCAGCAAGAGACGAGGUUGUUAUGAAUUACAAUGCCGAUUACACCCUCAAGUUCAAAGGCCUUAUUACAAGCUUGUCCGUGCAGGU